CGCAAUGGGCGAAAGUCUGACGGAGCGACGCCGCGUGCAGGAUGAAGUCCUUCGGGAUGUAAACUGCUUUUAUAGGGGAGGAAGUUUAUUGACGUUACCCUAAGAAUAAGAGGUUGCUAAACUCGUGCCAGCAGCAGCGGUAAUACGAGUGCCUCAAGCGUUAUCCGGAAUCAUUGGGCGUAAAGGGUUUGUAGGUGGUCAUGCUAGUCUUCUGUUAAAGAUCUCGGCUUAACCGGGGGAAUGCGGAGGAAACGGCACGACUAGAGGAUGCAAGGGGUCUGCGGAACUCAUAGUGUAGCGGUGAAAUGCGUUGAUAUUAUGGGGAACACCAAAAGCGAAGGCAGCAGACUGGGGCACUCCUGACACUGAAAAACGAAAGCGU
rnacentral:rRNA from 1 species